CGACCGGCGCACGGGUGCGUAACGCGUAUGCAACUUGCCUCACAGAGGGGGAUAACCCGUCGAAAGACGGACUAAUACCGCGUACACUCUAUGUUGGGCAUCCAAUGUAGAGGAAAUGAAAUUCGCUGUGAGAUAGGCAUGCGUCCCAUUAGCUAGUUGGUGAGGUAACGGCUCACCAAGGCGACGAUGGGUAGGGGAACUGAGAGGUUGAACCCCCACACUGGUACUGAGACACGGACCAG
rnacentral:rRNA from 1 species